rnacentral:misc_RNA from 1 species
UUUUAUACCUGUAACUGAUGGAAUAGUUAUAUUUAUUUGUGUUUCAAACGGAAUUAAAAUUUUCCGCUUGCGAUUCUCUUAUCGGUUUGUAAAGGGAAGUAAUUUGCCUUAACUUCCUGGGUGUUUAAUAUUCUUUUGGUACUAAAUUAUUCAUUCAGCUUCAUUUGAGUUUGACAAAUGGGGUGUAAUAUAAGGUUAAGCU